GAUGAACGCUGGCGGCGUGCCUAAUACAUGCAAGUCGAGCGAACAGACGAGGAGCUUGCUCCUCUGACGUUAGCGGCGGACGGGUGAGUAACACGUGGAUAACCUACCUAUAAGACUGGGAUAACUUCGGGAAACCGGAGCUAAUACCGGAUAACAUGUUGAACCGCAUGGUUCAACAGUGAAAGACGGUCUUUCUGUCACUUAUCGAUGGAUCCGCGCCGCAUUAGCUAGUUGGUAAGGUAACGGCUUACCAAGGCAACGAUGCGUAGCCGACCUGAGAGGGUGAUCGGCCACACUGGAACUGAGACACGGUCCAGACUCCUACGGGAGGCAGCAGUAGGGAAUCUUCCGCAAUGGGCGAAAGCCUGACGGAGCAACGCCGCGUGAGUGAAGAAGGUCUUCGGAUCGUAAAACUCUGUUAUUAGGGAAGAACAAAUGUGUAAGUAACUAUGCACGUCUUGACGGUACCUGAUCAGAAAGCCACGGCUAACUACGUG
rnacentral:rRNA from 1 species